rnacentral:rRNA from 1 species
GGAAUAUUGCACAAUGGGCGCAAGCCUGAUGCAGCAACGCCGCGUGAGCGAAGAAGGUCUUCGGAUCGUAAAGCUCUGUCCUUGGGGACGAAGAAGUGACGGUACCCAAGGAGGAAGCCCCGGCUAACUACGUGCCAGCAGCCGCGGUAAUACGUAGGGGGCGAGCGUUAUCCGGAAUUAUUGGGCGUAAAGAGUACGUAGGUGGCCACCUAAGCGCAAGGUGAAAGCCCGGGGCUUAACUCCGGCGAGCCUUGUGAACUGGGCGGCUUGAGUGCAGGAGGGGAAAGUGGAAUUCCUGGUGUAGCGGUGAAAUGCGUAGAUAUCAGGAGGAACACCGGUGGCGAAGGCGACUUUCUGGACUGUAACUGACACUGAGGUACGAAAGCGUGGGGAGCAAACA